GAUGAACGCUAGCGGCAGGCCUAAUACAUGCAAGUCGAACGGUGUAGCAAUACACAGUGGCGCACGGGUGCGUAACACGUAUGCAACCUACCUUACAUUGGGGGAUAGCCUUUCGAAAGGGAGAUUAAUACCGCAUAAGACAGUAACUAGGCAUCUAGUAGCUGUUAAAGAUUUAUCGAUGUAAGCUGGGCAUGCGUCCAAUUAGUUAGUUGGCGAGGUAAUGGCUCACCAAGACGGUGAUUGGUAGGGGAACUGAGAGGUCAAUCCCCCACACUGGCACUGGGAUACGGGCCAGACUCCUACGGGAGGCAGCAGUAGGGAAUAUUGGGCAAUGGGCGCAAGCCUGACCCAGCCAUGCCGCGUGCAGGAAGAAGGCGUUAUGCGUUGUAAACUGCUUUUAUACAGGAAGAAACGACCCUUGCGAGGGGCAUUGACGGUACUGUAUGAAUAAGCACCGGCUAACUCCGUGCCAGCAGCCGCCGUAAGAC
rnacentral:rRNA from 1 species